GCCGCCUCGCCUGCGGCCGGGCGCGGCGGAGCGGGGCCGCCGGGCCGGUCGGUGCCGUCUGCCGGCUUCUUGCACCGGGAAGGAGGAUCCCUGCCCAAAAUCCCCCCGGCCGCCGCGGCGGGCCCCUGGCUGGCGUUGGAUGGUGCCCAGGGAGGCGUCGGCCUUCGCAGGACGGCUUCUUGGGACCGACCGGUUUUGACGUUGGCGAAUGUCUUGGUGCAGAAGGCAUCUCAUGGCUGAGGGAUGAAGUGGUGGCAGGAGAUAACACCCGCCGCGCCAGUCAGAGCUGGGGGUGAGGGGCUGAAGGGUCUGUAUUGUCAGCAGGGGAAAGCUGGAGAGAAAAGGAGAAUGCUGGAGUGGAGCGUUUAUUGAGGAAGGCUCUGUUAUGCAGGAGCAAGGUGGAUAGAGAGGACUGGUGCCAUCCAUGGGUCAGUCACCCAUCAGUCCAGUGCACCCCACCGUGUACGUCGCCUGAAGAUCUAAGUGGGCUUAUAUAAGGGACAGGAUUGGGCUGUGCGGGCAGCAGCUUUGCCCCUGAUGGGGAAGUUGGGGAAGAGGGCCUGUUCCAGCGUUGGGUCAGUUUGAGAAGAGUGAGUAGAAGAGGAGCAGAGAGACUUCCAUCUGCUCUCACCUCUUCUCAGUCCUCAUUCCUCCACCCGUGUCAGGUCUGGAUCCCACUACUUCUUCCUGAUAUCACCUGUCCUAGAGACAUCUUCCUAUAUUAGGCAUCCAACUUGACUGCUGAUAAACUCUGCUGUACAAAUAGUGCUGUACGUGUAAAGACUGCAUCAUUAUGUGGGGUAGGCCAUUAUAUUCUUUGAUGAUCUUUGCAAGAAUAUUAGCUGAAUGAUACCAAAACCAUCAAAUUUGUACUGUCUUAGGUGAAGGCAUUUUCCAUUUUAUACCUUUGAUGUCGCCUGACAGGGGAAUGUAGUAGAAGGGACAUUCACAGAAAUAUGUAUUUGUAUAACUGACUAUAUAUGUAUACAUAUAUCUAUGUAUAAAAUAUGUAGUAUUGCAAUCUGGGGCCCAAUCUUCUUUCACCUAUUCCUGCAGUUGAAAUCAAAGUUGACUCUCGAAAGUCUUUGGUACUGGGAUUCCAGUUAGGCACAAAUGCUUAUUUCUGGGUCUCGGGCCUUAUCUGUGUUCAUAGUAACUAACCAAAUUAAGCUAAUUCAGUAUAAAUCAGUUUUAAAUCAGCUUAAACAUAGCCCCAUGAAGAUUUCUGUCACUUCAACUAAACAGAAUUAGAAAAAUACUUUAGCUAGAUUAAUGGCGCUUUGAUUGAGCACAAGAUAUUAGUUAGCCGUUCUCUUCUUCCACUCUCCAGUCACAGGAAGGAAACAUCAUUAUACAAUCUGUAAAUCCAAUCAGAAGUUGGUAAUGUGGCCUGAAUUUUGAAUAACAAAUACUGGUAUUGAACAUGUAGGCUGUUAUUCAUAACAAUGCUUGUAUGAAUUAUUUUGUAUAAUACAUUUUGAGGAAGCCAUAAGACUUCAUAAAAUGCAGAAGGGAAACAGAGUAAUUUAUUUUUUACAAAUUAUGCAGUUAUUUUGAAUACAGAAUUACUGUGUUAUCUCAAAACACGUGGAGCCUCUCAGGCACAUUACUGUGAGAUACUGUGAAUUGUUCUGGAGAAAUAGUAGUAGAAUGCUGUAACUGUUUUAAGUUAGUGAAGCCCCCCCUGUUAACUGCAGAAAUGAUAGGAUUUCUUUCCCAAAUAUUUGUUAUGCUGAAAGAAACUUUGAGAACUGAAAAGGUUACCUGUUUGAGCACCAUCAAUAGGAUUAACGCCAAUUUGGGUAUCCUCUUUCUUUUUUUUUUUUUCUUCUUUUGUUGUUUUUUGUUGUUUUUCAAUUAUGAGAAACAUUUGGGUGUUGUUUUUUCUCUUUUUUUUUUCCUGUAUGAAAUGUAUAGGAAGAAGGAGAUGAAGGCUUUUGAAGUGAUGAGCACUUUUGAAAAUGCCACCUUCCCCAAGGUAUAAAUGCUGCGGAUGUGUGAUUUUACAAGAAAGAAAACUGCAUCUGAUGCCAUCUGCAGUCUUGGACCAAACCCAAACUGUAACUCAAACUGAAAUGGAGUUUGUUGUUCAAGUACUGGGUCAAAUACAAAACUGCCUUUAGCAGCCUGCUCUCAGGAGAGAUUCUCUUAGAAUGAGGUAGUUGGGAGGCUGAAUUACUGCUCACCAUCUUAGGUGGUGUUCCAAGGUCAAAGUUAGGAAUAUAAGUGGAAAAUGCUGUAGUGAACUCUUGAUUUGAAGUUGUUGGAGAUGACAACUGUUAUUUAGUUGGGACUUGCUUAGAUGGAAGAAUACAACCUGAAAAUUAUUUUAACUAGGAAGGUAGGCAUGGGGCUCAUGAUUUUCCGGAUGAGCCUUUUGCUUCAGACUGCAGGCUGGAAUCAAAUUGAAAGUGUCAGAGUUCACCUCUAGCUGAGCAGGUCCAACAAGUCCUACCUAUUCCAGCCUGAUGCUCAUUCUUCAUGAUCUACAAGAUUAUUAUAAACUAAUCUGUUAGUCAUUGAAAAAUCAGCUAAUGUUAUUUCUGGCUAGACCAGUGGCACUUCCUGUAGAAUAAAGGCUGCGUAGGGUAAAAAUGAAAUAGUGGUGCAAUACAUUAUUGAAAAUCUAGGACUUGUCUUUGGAGUGUACAGGAAAAAUUUAAAAUAGUAAGCUACUGUUCCUCAUACUGUGCUUGCUUCUUUGUUUGUGCAGCAGCUUUUUGUGGCAUUGUAAGGAUUCAGUGUAUAAUUCAACUGUCUAAAGCUUUAUGUUAUGUUUACACUAUUUACUCCAUAGCAGCUAGCGUCAAUGUUGUUUGGACUUGCCAGCACUGGGUAAAGGAAAUACAGUGUACAAAUAAGGCUUAACUAGGCUUACUAAUUGCACUAAGUACCUAAAAUAUCUUUCAGAAAACUAUUAAAAGAAGUCUAUAUGAUAAAAGAUGUUAGAGAGUUAUUUAUGUCAAAACAGUGUUGUAAAGCAGUUCAGUGAGCAAGCAGAUGUUUGAAAACAAAUGUUUUCAGUAGGCAAUAUAUUUUUAUUUGUUUCUAUGUCAUUGAUGGCUGUUGAUACAAAAUGUACUCUCUCACAGCAAGUUCAAAGACAACCACCUACCUACUAAUUUUGUGAUAUGCAACAUUUACUGUUAAUCCUCCCCAUAGCCUUUCCUUUGUAGUUGUUCUCUGUAUGAAGCUGUAUUUAUUGGAAUUUGUGCAGACCUUGAUCUUCAACUGACUUCAGUGAAGCCGUCAUAUACAUCAAAAUAGGCUUAAAAGAUUUCAGUGCAAACCUCCUGUACCCCAAAUAGAUCAUUCUUACACUCCAAGAAUGAAUUACUCUGCACUGUUAACUUUAAGAAAGUAGUUCUAAGUAACCAAGAUCCUGAUAACAGAUUACUUCUAAUGCUUCACAAUUGAACUAUAAAAGUCUUAUCAGAAUAGA